rnacentral:RNase_P_RNA from 1 species
UUAGCAGGUCGCCUUAUCGAUCUUGCGCAAGCAAGGUAGGAAAGUCCGGACACCAUAGGAUAACAUAGCGGCUAACGGCCGUCGUUUUGUUUUCGCUUUCGCGAAAGCGAGAUAGGACUAGUGCAACAGAAAGUAUGUACAGAUAAUGCUGUAGUGAAACCAGGUAAACUCUAUGUGGUGAAAUGUCGCGUAAAUCAGAGCUUGAGCGCUAUCCGCGCGAUUCUGAAGGGUAGGCAGUUUGAAACAGCGAGUAAUCGUUGUUCUAGAUAAAUGAUAAGGUAUUCAAGCAAUUGAAGAACAGAAUCCGGCUUAUAGACCUGCUAUUUUA